AUGAAGCUGGGGGAAACCACAAGAAUCCCCAAUCUAAUUAGCUGUCCCGUUGACCAUUCUGUUUACUACAGAGACAUAGAGCAGAGGCUCCUCAUUUCUUCUCUCUCAGUCUGUGUUCCAGGAGGCCAGAGUGAGGAAUUAGUCUACAGAUAUGAUGAAAAAUUAGUUUGACCAGCUACAGCCACAGAACCAGUACUGUGAACAUUAAGGCUUCCAAAAAGAGAUGAUAUUUCCAUAAUGGAUGGAAUAUAUGGGUCAGGUGUUCUACUCGAGGGAAGAGCCUGUUGAAAUAACACAUUUAUCAUAUUCAAAUAUCUGUUCGUGUUUCCAGUAAUUAAUAUCUGUGAGGAACAUGGAAACUUGAGCAAAAUCGUUAAAUAAGAGCAUUUCUUGUCAAGAUAACAAGCAGAUUUGCAACAGCAAAUCACAAAUGGAGUCAAGUGUAAUCUCAGAAAAUGAAUUUCUCAACUCUGUGUUGAAAUUUCAUUUUAGUAGCAACAGAUAUUUUCUUUCAUAUUGUGACAUAUGUAGUGGUUUAUAGUCCAAGACUUGGUUCUGUCCAUCAGUUGAUUUGAAGGAGGCAGAUCUGAAUGUGAUCUCACAGUCAGUUGUUAGAAAGGAUUUAAGCUGACUAAAUAAUUGAUGAAUUUUGGUAUACGUCACCAGAGAGAAGUCUGAUCUUUAACUGGAUGGUUAUGAAAAUCUGAUUAAACAUAAGCUUAAAAAAAAAAAAUUGUUAACAGCAAGGUCAAUUACAUGCAUUUAGAAAAUAGGGGGAAUUUUAUAGCAGCUUUAAUUACUUUACCAAAUAGUUCAGUUCAUUUUGGUGUCACAACUAUUCAGUCUGGUCUCAUUGUUUAUAUGUAAGUAUUAAUAUGUAACAUUAACAAGUACAAAACAUACUUUUUUUAUUGAUUCUGAAACUUACAAAUGAGACGUAUUUUAACGUUUAAAACAUACAAAUUGUUACGUAUUUUUAGCUAAAAAACAUAAAAUAUUUACGCAUCUUUUAUAUCAAGAUGUUCGUAUCAAUGCAUUUUUAUCAUUUUAUCAAUAAGUGGUUUAGAUUUUUAAACCCCUUAACCUACCCCCAAACCUAAACCUACCCAUUUUAUAUCAAGUAUGCAUUUUUAUAAUUUUGUCAAAUGCAAUUUAGAUUUUUAGACCCCUUUACCUACCCAUUUUAUAGUCAAUAUAAAAGGAUAUAAAACGCAAUUGACCCAAAUAUGCAGGAAAAUAACCAUUUUGGUAACAAUAUAGCAUUAAAAAUUUUUUAUGGUCAUUAGUCCCACUCCUACCUCUAAACCUAAACAUAGCUAUUUCUGUACAGUAUAAAGCCUCGUGCAUAACGGGACGAUUAACGCGCGCUUAUCGCCAGCGUUUUUUCAAGACGUUUUUCAAUGCGUCUUGUGUGUUCAUUCUUUUAUACAGUCUGUGGUUCAUACCCAAGCGAUUUUCACUGGCGAUGAGCUGAGUGAAUGUGCAAAUUCACUCCCUGACAUUAGAUGGCGCUUAAUGAAAAACAGAAAUACCCACACAUCGAAUCCUAUUUGAUCUGCAAUUCCUCUCCAUAACAACUCCCUCUAAUCGAGAUUUUUGUACUCGCUGUCGCGUUAAUCAUAAAA
ensembl:lncRNA